UACAGAGGGGGCAAGCGUUGUUCGGAAUUACUGGGCGUAAAGGGCGUGCAGGCGGUUCGUUUAGUCCAGGGUGAAAGCUCCCGGCUUAACUGGGAGAGGUCCUUGGAUACUGGCGGACUAGAGGAGGGUAGAGGAGAGUGGAAUUCCCGGUGUAGUGGUGAUAUGCGUAGAUAUCGGGAGGAACACCAGUGGCGAAGGCGGCUCUCUGGGCCCUACCUGACGCUGAGACGCGAAAGCGUGGGGAGCGAACCGG
rnacentral:rRNA from 1 species